UUGCAUGUUUUGCAUUUGAAAAUAUUUACAUUUAUUAUUGCAUUUAAUUUUGUUAGAAACUCAUGUCAUUUCAUGCUCUGAUUCAUUAUCUAAAAACAUCUUGGUAUGUAAUGGUUGGCUCAGUCCUUCUGAGGCAAGUAUGAGAGAUUUUGGAAAAGUUGUAAGACUCUUAGUGUACACACAGCAAACCUGCUUGUUCAGUGACUGCCUUCCUUAACUAUAUAAAACUCAUGAGUGGACCAAGAAAAUAGCUAGUGCUUUAUAUGUAUCUUAUCACUUUAGUAAGCAGUUAGAUUUUUAUAGUAGUACAGUCUGCAGGCAAGUGCUAUUGCGUGUGCUUUAACCCUUCACAAAAGAAAAAUGUUUCAUUGUUGAUAAGUGCCAUUACAUAUAAAGUGACGUAUUAACCUAUCUAAAAAUAGUGCUGUGCUCAACGAGGCAACCACACCAUCAGUCGACUGCUGAUUUCUUUUACUGCAGUGUCAUCAGUAACUGAGGCAUUCACAGUUGAGAUCAGAGGAGCCUCAAAUAGGGGGACACUGAGAACCUAGGACAUUACAUUGGCAUUGCAUGGUGUGUCCCAACCCCUCGCUAAUAUGCUGAAUAGGUGAACAAGUUGGGGCUCUGAAAGCAAUUCUGUGGCACAGAAGAUUUCUUGGAAGCUAGGUCAGGAGAAAAUAAAUUCCAGUGCUGAUGAAGCUGACAAAUUCAAGUACAUUCUUCAAAAUAGCAUUUUUCUCUGGCAAUGUAAUUUUAGUUUGGAGUACAGCAAUAAUUGAAUUCCUGGGACUGAUACAGGUGAGACAGGGUUUGGUUUUAAUUGAUUACUUAUUUAGGCCUUCUGAGAUGUGAAGGUCUAAAUGUGAACUGUGAAAAGUUGUUUGGCAUGAGAAAAACUUUCUGUUACCCUAAAAGGUAAGGUACAUGAUGCUUUUUUACGGUCUCGUGAUAUCAAUGUGAAGAUGUGAAAUGACAACAAAUGUGUAAAAUGCUGGACAAAUGUUUGGGCACGUAUGCAGUGGGAAUUUUAUAAAGCUAAGAAAUGACAGCUAUCUAAGAAUAAAAAGAUUCAAAAAUAAGAAGAGUUUUAUGGGGCAGACAUCCUAGGGCAUACUAUGUUACUCUAGGGAAUAUUUACCUACAGGAGUAGUUGUAUAGUCUGUGAGGAGAACGGUUUGUGUUUCAGUGUCUGAACACUACAUCAUUGGUAAUGCUUUUGGGUUUUUCUUUCACAGUACAGCAGUGUGGUAGAGUGAUGGUGUCACUGAGGGAUUCUUAGUAGCUGUGGGAUAUCCAUACAGCGGUCAAGUGACUUCCCCAGAGUCAUGCUGGUAGUUGAACUUGGGUCUUAACUGAGUUUAGUUUUAUUAACUCAGUGCUUUUAGAUGAGUGUUUAAAAUUCUUAAUUGUUGUAGAAAAUAGUGGUUUUCUUUCAGAAAGGAACAGUGGUUAUGUUAAUGUAUAGUUGUUUUUUUUCUUCUUGUUUUUAAAGGUGUGGUACUGCACUUCCUAUUGAAGGGUGGAGGUGAAGGCAGGUAUUUCCUGCUUUCCAGGCAUUUGGGUGUCACGUUUUCCUGUUGCUGUUAUUUGGGCCUUACAGAGUGUGUCUUUUCAUUCUGUGCUGCUAUAUUUAAGAGCCAGGAAAAGAUCAAGCUCUUGCUGAAGGUGCUUUAUUAACAAAUUCUGAAUUAAUAGUCAUAAAGCAGCUGUUGUAUUAUAGGCCUUUUCCUAUCUAGUCUAGUUUUGGGUUGGCUAAACGCUGACUGUUAAGGAACUGGAAAUAGCAAAGAUAAUGGAUCACGAACACUUACAGGUCACCUGCUUCAUCAGUGGCUUUAAUGUUUGGUUUCUGUCUUGGUUUUGGAGUCUUGCCUGAUGAUGUUAGCUUUUAGAGGUUGCUGUUGUUGCAGAAAAUUAAGUUGAUGGAGAAUCAGUGAGGGAGUUAAGUAGUGGGAAUUUCUAGGUUCUUGCUAGGUGAAAUGCUACGGCUUUUUAAAUUCUGGAUGUUGUGAGAAGUUGGAAUGUUGAAAUAACACAGGAAGAAAAGAAAUCUGAUUUAAAGUAUUAGCAGGGCCUAGGCAAAGGGAAGUGUUACAGAACCAUGUUCAUUUAGAUUCCUGAAUAUAUUCAGUUCUUCUUUAAUGCUUCUUCUGUUAUUAACUUCCAACUUCAACAUUCAGAAUGCUAACCAAGCUAGAUGGAAGUUAUUUUUUUGGUUUACAUGUAGCAAGUACAAAACUGUCAAAACAGGUAAUAGAUAAUUUAUUGGUUUUGUCUUUAACAUUUGUUACUUACUCUAAGACUGAAGAAUGAUGAGUCAAAGUAGUUGAAUAGGGUUUUUUGAGGAAGUUUAGGGGAAUUUGGGUUCUGCAAUAUUUGAGUGAAAGAUUCAAAAACUCCUCUACCUGUACCUUUAUGAAUGAGACAAAUUCUCAUGAUAGAACUGAUUUUCCUUGGAUAUGAUUAUGGUAUGUAUCUUUUUGCCUUGAUUCACUAAGAAAUGAAACAAUACAGAAUAAUAUGUGAAAGUGUCACAGCAGUUUGGUGAGGAAGACCGAAACUGUAGGAUAAGUUGGUGUCAGUAGUAAAUGAGUUGGGAAGCCCCAACUUUGAAGGUAGGCUUCAGUUCCUGUCUCUCCUAAAAUGGUAGUGGCAACUCCUUUUAUAACAAUUUUUGCUACAUAACUUUUUCUCACAGUAGUGGGAUCUUGCAAGAGUCUGUAUUGCAGAACUUCUCUUUAUCUUAAAUCAUCCGUUGUCUGAAAAGUAUGAUUACUGUCCAGACAAGGCAGUUGUAAAGUGUAAUUCCCUAUCUGGAAAGAAAAUAAACAAUCUUGAGGAAGAGUCCAGCCAGCUGUUAAUGCUGAUGACUUACCAU